UGAGGAAUAUUGGUCAAUGGGGGCAACCCUGAACCAGCCAAGUCGCGUGAAGGAUGAAGGUCUUAUGGAUUGUAAACUUCUUUUACACGGGAAUAAAGCGGGGGACGUGUCCCUCUUUGCAUGUACCGUGUGAAUAAGGAUCGGCUAACUCCGUGCCAGCAGCCGCGGUAAUACGGAGGAUCCGAGCGUUAUCCGGAUUUAUUGGGUUUAAAGGGUGCGCAGGCGGGAUGUUAAGUCGGCGGUGAAAUUUUGCAGCUCAACUGUAAAAGUGCCUUCGAUACUGGCCUCCUUGAGUGUGGAUGAAGUAGGCGGAAUUUGUGGUGUAGCGGUGAAAUGCUUAGAUAUCACGAGGAACUCCGAUUGCGCAGGCAGCUUACUAAGCCACAACUGACGCUCAUGCACGAAGGCGUGGGGAUCAAACA
rnacentral:rRNA from 1 species